UACGGUAGGGGGCAAGCGUUGUCCGGAUUUAUUGGGCGUAAAGGAGCGUGUAGGCGGCUUUACGUAGGUCCGUUGUGAAAAACUCGAGGCUCAACCUCGAGACGCCGGUGGAAACCGUAAAGCUAGAGUCCGGAAGAGGAGAGUGGAAUUCCUGGUGUAGCGGUGAAAUGCGCAGAUAUCAGGAAGAACACCCGUGGCGAAGGCGGCUCUCUGGGACGGUACUGACGCUGAGACGCGAAAGCGUGGGGAGCGAACAGG
rnacentral:rRNA from 1 species